rnacentral:rRNA from 1 species
AGAGUUUGAUCAUGGCUCAGAUUGAACGCUGGCGGCAGGCUUAACACAUGCAAGUCGAACGGUAACAGGAAGAAAGCUUGCUUUCUUUGCUGACGAGUGGCGGACGGGUGAGUAAUGCUUGGGAAUCUGGCUUAUGGAGGGGGAUAACUACGGGAAACUGUAGCUAAUACCGCAUAAUAUCGAGAGAUUAAAGGGUGGGACCGCAAGGCCACCUGCCAUGAGAUGAGCCCAAGUGGGAUUAGGUAGUUGGUGAGGUAAGGGCUCACCAAGCCGACGAUCUCUAGCUGGUCUGAGAGGAUGACCAGCCACACUGGAACUGAGACACGGUCCAGACUCCUACGGGAGGCAGCAGUGGGGAAUAUUGCACAAUGGGGGGAACCCUGAUGCAGCCAUGCCGCGUGAAUGAAGAAGGCCUUCGGGUUGUAAAGUUCUUUCGGUAGCGAGGAAGGCAUUUAGUUUAAUAGACUAGGUGAUUGACGUUAACUACAGAAGAAGCACCGGCUAACUCCGUGCCAGCAGCCGCGGUAAUACGGGGGGUGCGAGCGUUAAUCGGAAUAACUGGGCGUAAAGGGCACGCAGGCGGUGACUUAAGUGAGAUGUGAAAGCCCCGGGCUUAACCUGGGAAUUGCAUUUCAUACUGGGUCGCUAGAGUACUUUAGGGAGGGGUAGAAUUCCACGUGUAGCGGUGAAAUGCGUAGAGAUGUGGAGGAAUACCGAAGGCGAAGGCAGCCCCUUGGGAAUGUACUGACGCUCAUGUGCGAAAGCGUGGGGAGCAAACGGGAUUAGAUACCCCGGUAGUCCAA